CUUCUAUAGUGUGAAAUGCUCUGUUCAAGACGGUGCCUUGUGACUUCACGUCAACUAUAUUCAGUUGUGCAUGAUCCAAAUGAAAAGACUUUUGAAAAGCUGCUCGUUGCCAACAGAGGGGAGAUUGCAUGCAGAGUCAUCAAAACAUGCAAGAAGAUGGGGAUUAAAACAGUUGCCAUACACAGUGAUGUCGAUGCCAAUGCUGU